rnacentral:misc_RNA from 1 species
GUGGAAUUUUCAGUAAAAUAUAAAAAAUACUCUCUUCAAUAAGAAACCAUCACAGUAUAAAAUUAGAACAAAUCACAUAUUUGGGCAAAUCUAAACCAGCAAUAAGCAUUAUAUGCCUAAUGCGUUUUCCAAGACAUACAACCAAACUCAAUCUAAUACAAUGCUAAAGAUAAGCAUUAUUAGCAAUCAUGAAAAUAAUAUAUUUAAGGUGCGAAGUAAAUUUACUUGAUUUUCCAAAAAUUACAUAAAAAAAAUUAUUAUUUUG